GUCAAUGAAUAUUGUCUAGCUCAUCGUUCUUCUUCGCAAGCCCUAGUAGGAAACGAGACUUGAUCUUUAGAGUGUUUAGAGACAUGGGUUCGCAACAUAAAGAGGUUGAAUCGAAUUGUCGAAGGCCGGCAAUUGCAGCUGUACUGCCAGUGGUGGCAAAAGAUGAUGUGCCAUAACAGAAUCUGGUGGCAGAAGAUGUGGUUGUGGCAGAGGAGAUUCUUGUCAGCAUUCAACCUCCUCCAAAAAAAAAUUAUUUGGAUAUUCUAGAACAAAUGUUUUGGCCAGAAUAAAUGGAGAUGAACCAAGGACAAACAAGUGAGUGAGGAUCGGAUAAACCAAUAUCAACAGUGGGAGUGGCACAACACAAUGGGAGGGGGAGAUACUUCCAAGAAAAUAUUCAACUAGAGCAUCAAACAACUUUAAAUCAAAGUUUCAUAAAAAUGAUAAAGCUCCAAUCAACCUUGAUUGAUUAGAAAAUGUUAUUUAAUUAAAACGAAUUUUGUACACAUAUUUAAUUAGGUUGUAAUAAUUAGGUAAUUUAAUUAUAUUUAUGGGUAUGAAAAGUAAUACUA